rnacentral:tRNA from 1 species
GAGGGUAUAGCUCAGUGGUAGAGCCCAUGCUUAGCAUGCAUGAGGUCCUGGGUUCAAUCCCCAGUACUUCCA